CACCACAAACAAUACUCUAUGACUAUCAACUGUUGUAACUCUCAAGAAUCCAACUUUCGUUGCCUUUUAUUUCGUUUCUGCCGGUUUGGAACCAACCAGAGAGGGGAGUAGAUCCGAGGCUCACGCCCUAGUUCACUGCGCCGCAGCAAAGCAAAUGGAGUCUUAAUUCAAGACUCUCGCUGUGGAGUCUCAUAGAGACUCAACCCUACCACCACCACAUGAAGUCAUUGCAUACCAUCUUCCUUAGAGCAACAGGAGCAUCUGAUAGCGAGAUAAAACGAGCGAAACGCUUGGGGACGCCUUUAUUCAUGCUAUUUGACAUUUACUUGUGUGAUUUAAGUUUAUCUUCGAUUGUUAAAAUUAUAUGUUAAAAUUCGUGUUAGCAUAGUAUGUUUACUCUUAUUGUCAA